UCCAGAGACUGCAAGCGUUCUUCGUCUUCCCUUUUCUUAAAGGGUGCGCAGGCGGCCAAGUGUGUGAGGCGUGAAAGCCCGGGGCUUAACCCCGGAAUUGCACCUCAAACUACAUGGCUAGAGCAUUGGAGAGGGUAGCAGAAUUCAUGGUGUAGCAGUGAAAUGCGUAGAUAUCAUGAGGAAUACCAGAGGCGAAGGCGGCUACCUGGACAAUUGCUGACGCU
rnacentral:rRNA from 1 species